AUUGAACGCUGGCGGCAGGCCUAACACAUGCAAGUCGAACGGUAACAGGAAGAAGCUUGCUUCUUUGCUGACGAGUGGCGGACGGGUGAGUAAUGUCUGGGAAACUGCCUGAUGGAGGGGGAUAACUACUGGAAACGGUAGCUAAUACCGCAUAACGUCGCAAAACCAAAGAGGGGGGCCUUCGGGCCUCUUGCCAUCGGAUGUGCCCAGAUGGGAUUAGCUAGUAGGUGGGGUAACGGCUCACCUAGGCGACGAUCCCUAGCUGGUCUGAGAGGAUGACCAGCCACACUGGAACUGAGACACGGUCCAGACUCCUACGGGAGGCAGCAGUGGGGAAUAUUGCACAAUGGGCGCAAGCCUGAUGCAGCCAUGCCGCGUGUAUGAAGAAGGCCUUCGGGUUGUAAAGUACUUUCAGCGGGGAGGAAGGGAGUAAAGUUAAUACCUUUGCUCAUUGACGUUACCCGCAGAAGAAGCACCGGCUAACUCCGUG
rnacentral:rRNA from 1 species